AAAUCGGUCUUUUUCAAGACCACUGAAAAACCAUUCCUUAUCAUUU
rfam:Harpegnathos saltator strain R22 G/1 HarSal_1.0_1.contig99, whole genome shotgun sequence.